AGAGUUUGAUCAUGGCUCAGAGUGAACGCUGGCGGCAGGCCUAACACAUGCAAGUCGAACGGCAGCACAGGGGAGCUUGCUCCCCGGGUGGCGAGUGGCGGACGGGUGAGGAAUACGUCGGAAUCUGCCUUUUUGUGGGGGAUAACGUAGGGAAACUUACGCUAAUACCGCAUACGACCUACGGGUGAAAGUGGGGGACCGCAAGGCCUCACGCAGAAAGAUGAGCCGACGUCGGAUUAGCUAGUUGGCGGGGUAAUGGCCCACCAAGGCGACGAUCCGUAGCUGGUCUGAGAGGAUGAUCAGCCACACUGGAACUGAGACACGGUCCAGACUCCUACGGGAGGCAGCAGUGGGGAAUAUUGGACAAUGGGCGAAAGCCUGAUCCAGCCAUGCCGCGUGGGUGAAGAAGGCCUUCGGGUUGUAAAGCCCUUUUGUUGGGAAAGAAAACUUUCCGGCUAAUACCCGGAGAGAAUGACGGUACCCAAAGAAUAAGCACCGGCUAACUUCGUGCCAGCCGCCGCGGUAAUAC
rnacentral:rRNA from 1 species